GAAGUCUGGGAAGAGAGUGGCAGCAACCGUUUGGCCUUCUAAGGGGAGGAGACCGCACGGAAGGCCUUGCUCUGCUACCGGUAAGCCUACGCAAAGCCGGAGAGAUGCUUCUGAUGCAACCCCACGUUCGGUUGGGCUAGAGAAAAGUAUACCGGCAGCAGCCACACCAUCAUCUGCAAUCCCUACUGGUGCUGUAGAUGGAUCUCUCCCACCAGGAGGCCCACAAAGUGCUGCCGCUGCACCGCCUGUGACUUCGGGGCUUUAGGAGCUACUGUCAGCAUAUGUGUAUUGCGUGAAUGGUUGGCUAUGUAGACCAGCUACUGAGUACCUGGAUCUGCAUCAUUCAUAGGCACAUGUGUAAUGCGAGAAUGGGUGGCUGUGUCGACCAGCCACUGAGUACAUGGAGGCAAUAUGGAAAACGCUGAUGUGGAAACUCUUGCUGGUCAUCACUACAAAGAAACUCACCCACGACUGUACCUUUCACAGUGUGCCACGGACUCCAUGGGCGAGUCACUUCCAGGGCAGCUCCUUGAAAGAACUGAUCAUCAGUUACAUUGGUAUGAAUACUACAUUAUUUUUUUAUCAUGGGAGAUGGGCUGGUUCCGGAUGUAUGCGCAGUUAUCAAGGAUGUUGUCAAGACACCACCUCUGCCUGUUACUCCUGGUAUGAAGAUCUGUUGUUUUUA